ACAGUGUCACGGCCGUCUGAGCUAAGGUCGUAAUCAAAUCUGAAAGGCGCAGAUAUCUGCGCCUUUUUU
rnacentral:sRNA from 1 species